UACGAAGGGGGCUAGCGUUGUUCGGAAUUACUGGGCGUAAAGCGCGCGUAGGUGGUUUGUUAAGUUGAAUGUGAAAUCCCCGGGCUCAACCUGGGAACUGCAUGCAAAACUGGCAAGCUAGAGUAUGGUAGAGGGUGGUGGAAUUUCCUGUGUAGCGGUGAAAUGCGUAGAUAUAGGAAGGAACACCAGUGGCGAAGGCGACCACCUGGACUGAUACUGACACUGAGGUGCGAAAGCGUGGGGGAGCAAACAGG
rnacentral:rRNA from 1 species